rnacentral:rRNA from 1 species
AUUGAACGCUGGCGGCAGGCCUAACACAUGCAAGUCGAACGAGUGGCGGACGGGUGAGUAAUGUCUGGGAAACUGCCUGAUGGAGGGGGAUAACUACUGGAAACGGUAGCCAAUACCGCAUACCAUACGUUUUGCCCAGAAGGGAUUAGCUAGUAGGGGGGGGAAAGGCUCACCAAGGCGACGAUCCCUAGCUGGUCUGAGGGGAUGACCAGCAAAACUGGAACGGGGACACGGUCCAGACUCCUACGGGAGGCAGCAGUGGGGAAUAUUGCAAAAUGGGGGCAAGCCUGAUGCAGAAAGGCCGCGUGUAUGAAGAAGGCCUUCGGGUUGUAAAGUACUUUCAGCGGGGAGGCGUUACCCGCAGAGAAAGCACCGGCUAACUCCGUGCCAGCAGCCGCGGUAAUAC